rnacentral:rRNA from 1 species
UACGUAGGGGGCAAGCGUUGUCCGGAUUUAUUGGGCGUAAAGAGCGUGUAGGCGGCUAGAUAGGUCCGUUGUGAAAACUCGAGGCUCAACCUCGAGACGUCGAUGGAAACCAUCUGGCUAGAGUCCGGAAGAGGAGAGUGGAAUUCCUGGUGUAGCGGCGAAAUGCGCAGAUAUCAGGAAGAACACCCGUGGCGAAGGCGGCUCUCUGGGCAACAACUGACGCUGAGGAGCGAAAGCGUGGGGAGCGAACAGG